rnacentral:rRNA from 1 species
UACAGAGGGGGCAAGCGUUAUUCGGAAUUAUUGGGCGUAAAGGGCGCGUAGGCGGCUUGGCAAGUGGAAGGUGAAAUCCCUCGGCUUAACCGAGGAACUGCCCUCCAAACUGCUUCGCUUGAGACCGGGAGAGGUGAGUGGAAUUCCCAGUGUAGCGGUGAAAUGCGUAGAUAUUGGGAGGAACACCAGUGGCGAAGGCGGCUCACUGGACCGGUACUGACGCUGAUGCGCGAAAGCGUGGGGAGCAAAC